GGAGACGGCACUGGGAAACAACUGUGGUUCAAUUCACCAGCAGUCUCUUUCCCAUCAAUUACAUGUGUGAUUUGGGGUUAUCAUAUUGGGUAAAGGGAAGAAAUGAGCUACAGGUUCAUCUGUGAAAUGAAAGCCUUGGAAGAUGAUCUCCAAAGUCCCUUCCUCCUCUAAUUCUCUAGAAUUCAACAUCCAAGCAGCCCUGGGCUAAAAGGACAACUUGUCUGACCAGUUAGCGUUUUCCAAGACGCUAACUCCCAGCACAACUCAGUGAUAGCAGAAGAGGAAAUUGGGACCCAGAGCAUUACAUGACUUGAUUGAGGUCAAACUGCUGGCAAGGUGCUGCCAUGGAGGUCAAGUCCAGGCCCUCUAGCUCUACAGCCAGUGAUAGGGGAACUGAUGUGCCCAGGCUGAAGUUCGGUCCACUACAAUAGGACCCACUAUUCUGACUCUGUAGCAUGUCUCCGUAAACGACAGGCCCUACAAAGUGAGGACACAGGUACAGUCCUAUGUGUUCUCGCAGGUGGAACACAGGUGCUGACAUCUGUGUAUGUGGAUCUGGUUCCAAAUGACCUGAAGGGAAUAUAAUGGUAAUUGAACAUUUGCACAUAAA